AUUGAACGCUGGCGGCAGGCCUAACACAUGCAAGUCGAGCGGGUGACGGGAGCGUGCUCCCUGAUUCAGCGGCGGACGGGUGAGUAAUGCAUAGGAAUCUGCCUAUUAGUGGGGGACAACGUUUCGAAAGGAACGCUAAUACCGCAUACGUACUACGGGAGCAAGCAGGGGACCUUCGGGUCUCGCGCUAAGAGAUGAGCCUAGGUCGGAUUAGCUUGUUGGUGAGGUAAUGGCUCACCAAGGCGACGAUCCGUAACUGGUCUGAGAGGAUGGUCAGUCACACUAGAACUGAGACACGGUCCAAACUCCUACGGGAGGCAGCAGUGGGGAAUAUUGGACAAUGGGCGAAAGCCUGAUCCAGCCAUGCCGCGUGUGUGAAGAAGGUCUUCGGAUUGUAAAGCACUUUAAGUUGGGAGGAAGGGUUGUAGAUUAAUACUCUGCAAUUUUGACGUUACCGACAGAAUAAGCACCGGCUAACUCUGUGCCAGCCGCCGCGGUAACAC
rnacentral:rRNA from 1 species